CUCUUAAUGGAUUCUCUUGAAAAUAUAAAACCAAAUAAACAUAAGUCUUAUAUGGUUUUAUAUUUUCAAGAGAAUCCAUUAAGAG